AUCCAGCUGAUCGGUCUCAAAUAGAACGAAACGUGUGUCCUGGAU
rnacentral:hammerhead_ribozyme from 1 species